GGGUGAAAAAACAGCGAAAGAUCCAAAGUAGCAAUCAGCUCCAGUGUGUAUUGACAAAUGCAGUCACCGCCGUCUCUUCUGAAUUCCUCAUUUCUUCAUCAUUUUUCAAUAUUAUACUACUACUAUCUCCUUCUCGAAGUUUCUCUCUCAAACUUACGUAUACGUACAUGUACGUAUGACCAAAGGUGAAAUCUUUCUGUGUGUGAAAAUUGAGGGAUGUAUGCGAAGCGGAAGAAGCUAAGGCCUCGACUUGACCGGACAAACGCCCUAAAGAACGUCGAUUACGACGCUUCGCAGUCGACGCCGUCAUCGCCGUCGUCGUUCGAAGAUCAGCUUACUCACCGGACUCGGUCGCUUGACCUUUAUUCUUUGACCGACCGCACAAGCUUCAGCAGUCAUCGCCGUCGUCGGUCGAAGAUCAUCCUACUCACCGAACUCGGUCGCUUGACCUUUAUCCUUUGACCGACUGUACAAGCUUCAGAAUCGACGGUGUUGGCGGUGAAUUUGACGUUAUUUG
rnacentral:lncRNA from 1 species